rnacentral:rRNA from 14 species
CCUGCACGAAUGGCGUAACGACUUUCCUACUGUCUCAACCAUAGACCCGGCGAAAUUGAAGUACGAGUAAAGAUGCUCGUUAGCUGCAGAAGGACGGAAAGACCCCGUGGACCUUUACUAUAGCUUGAUGUUGAGUUUUGUUAUGUGUUGUGUAGGAUAGGUGGGAGACUAGGAAGCAUUGGCGCCAGCCAGUGUGGAGUCAACCUUGAAAUACCACUCUGGU